GUGUCAGCCGCCGCGGUAAUACGGAGGGUGCAAGCGUUAUCCGGAUUCACUGGGUUUAAAGGGUGCGUAGGUGGGCAGGUAAGUCAGUGGUGAAAUCUCCGGGCUUAACCCGGAAACUGCCAUUGAUACUAUCUGUCUUGAAUACCCUGGAGGUGAGCGGAAUAUGUCAUGUAGCGGUGAAAUGCUUAGAUAUGACAUAGAACACCCAUUGCGAAGGCAGCUCACUACGGGAAUAUUGACACUGAGGCACGAAAGCGUGGGGAUCAAACAGGAUUAGAAACCCCCGUAGUCC
rnacentral:rRNA from 1 species